rnacentral:lncRNA from 12 species
CUUUCAGUGCCUCAGGGGAUGCUCUGGUGUUUCUGGAGGACGGGAUUCCCUGGAGCAGCCAGCCAAAAAUCCCCACUGCCCAUCAGAGAUGGAUCUGCAGCGAGACAAGAUGCAUCAGGAGGGGACAGCAGAAGUGACUCCAAAUCCCAGGGCUGGUACAAAGCACAAAUUUCUCCUGGGGGAAUGAGGACCAACAUUCCCAGAGGAUGAGGAGCUGGGAGCCCCUU